CAGUAACAAGUAAAAGGUCAUGGAAAGAUAAAACUAGAUAACUGUAAUUAGUGAGCGACGUGAGUUAGUUUUAUGUUUUUAUAGACACCAAACUGUUGGAAAAGUAGCUGCUUAUGAGAAUUUAGAGGUUACUGAAUGAGUUUAGAUGAUUAAUAUAUACUAUAAGGUGGAAAGUUAAGAGGUAUACUAUUGAGUGUAUGCUGUUAAAGUUUGCAGCUCUUCUAAAAAUCGAGUCUGCAAUAAAUUUUGUGCUGCUUAAUAAUAAUGAAUAAACUAUUUUCCUCUUCCCAUAUAACUUGAAUGGUCUGAUGAGCUAUUUCUCAGAUCUUGAGUAAGAGUAAACAAUUUCUUAGACACUUGAUUGAAAAAUAGACCGAGUGGUUCAAUAUGUGCUGCUUUACACGAGAGUCCUGGUGUAUGUGCUCAUGCCUUAUGAAAGCACUUGAUUGUGUUUUGAACUUUAAAAUCAUAUAAGAAUCUAUAUAGGGGUUGCAGUAAUUUCGGGUCACUAGCAAUCUGACCAUGUGGUUUGCAGUUUGCAUCAGUAAAACCAUGUGUGUACUCUUUGGUUUUGCUUCUGUUGUUCAAAUUCAGAUGGAUGUUUAUGGGCGGAGAAAAUGACGAUACUAGAUCUUUUUGGUCAAGUGUUGAAGCCAUGGAAGCUGAGAAGAUCUACAAACUUUUGUUCUUUUCAUCUACAGGUCUUUCAUUUAUUCACUGGUAAUUUGUAAGUGCUCUUGUUUUGGGAAUUUUAUAUGUUCCCCUUCCUCUUUUUUUCCUCUAUGCCUUUUUCAUUUUUUGAUUCAUUUUAUCCUUUCUUCAUGAGGUCCUAUACUUCUGUUUUUGUAGUUUUACUGUAGUUUGGAUCAGUAAUCAAGAAAAGAUGGAUUAUAUGAAUUUGAAGAUCUUUGGGGGUACCUAUUGGUUUCAAUGUGUUACUUUCUGAUGAGACCUUA